AUUGUCUUGGCAGAAAUUAUGCAUUAGGUUUAGGACCUAAUUAGAUAGGAAAGAAGCCCUAUAGAUAAUA
rnacentral:tRNA from 1 species